CAGUGAUUCCCUUAGUAACGGCGAGCGAACAGGGAAGAGCCCAGCGCCGAACCGCCGAUCGUACAGGUCGCGCGGAAUGUGGCGUUACGGAGCGAGCCUUCCCCCGUGGACGGCGGCGACAAGUCUCCCUGACAGGAGCUCCUGCCCAGAGCGGGUGCGAGGCCCAUAGUCGCCGUGCGUCACUCGGGUGGCGAACUCCGAAGAGUCGGGCUGCUUGAGAGUGCAGUCCUAAGCGGGAGGUAAACUCCUCCUAAGGCUAAAUACGGCCGCGAGACCGAUAGCGAACAAGUACCGUGAGGGAAAGUUGCAAAGAACUUUGAAGAGAGAGUUCAAGAGUACGUGAAACUGCUCGGAAGGAAACGGGUGGAUCUUCGAAGUCCGAGAGGAGCGGGAUUCAGUGGCGGGCGGCGAGGGGUGUUUGAACUUCGUACUCCCUCGCGGGGACGAGGGCCGAGCACCGUUCUCCCGUCAGCCGCGCACUUCUCGCUCCCGGUGGACGCCGCAGCCGGUCUGGCGUCGGCAGUGAGGACUGGCCGGGCGAUGGCGUGGGCGUCGAUCUCGCAUCGGCGUCCCGAUUCUGUACCGGUCGUGUUCCCGGUGCGACGCCGGUCCGAGGGAAAGUGUCCGGACUAGUUCCGGACGUGCCGCGGUCUCGCCAUGAGAAUGGCAGAGCGGGAGAGUGGUCCGGUCCUACCGGCCGUGUUGCCCACCACGAGCGUGAGCGACCGGAAAAAGGUGAGCCGUAAGAUCGCGACCUAGCCCGCUAAGGCGAACCGAGGGCUUGCGGCGAGUAGGUCGGUAUUCCACCCGACCCGUCUUGAAACACGGACCAAGGAGUCUAACUUGUGCGCGAGUCAGUGGGACUCGAUUAAGCCCACGGGCGCAAUGAGAGUGAAUUUUUUGUGUCGUGAUCCCGCGCUUCGGCGUGGGCGCAGCGACGGCCCGACUAAAAUGUUGUCCAGCGUAGCUGGCGCCGGUCGGAGCCCGAGCGUACAGGUUGGUACCCGAAAGAUGGUGAACUAUGCCCGGGCAGGUUGAAGCUAGAGGAAACUCUGGUGGAGGACCGCAGCGGUCUGACGUGCAAAUCGAU
rnacentral:rRNA from 1 species